rnacentral:rRNA from 1 species
AUUGAACGCUGGCGGCAUGCCUUACACAUGCAAGUCGAACGGUAACAGGUCUUCGGAUGCUGACGAGUGGCGAACGGGUGAGUAAUACAUCGGAACGUGCCCAGACGUGGGGGAUAACGAGGCGAAAGCUUUGCUAAUACCGCAUACGAUCUAAGGAUGAAAGCAGGGGACCGCAAGGCCUUGUGCGUUUGGAGCGGCCGAUGGCAGAUUAGGUAGUUGGUGGGAUAAAAGCUUACCAAGCCGACGAUCUGUAGCUGGUCUGAGAGGACGACCAGCCACACUGGGACUGAGACACGGCCCAGACUCCUACGGGAGGCAGCAGUGGGGAAUUUUGGACAAUGGGCGAAAGCCUGAUCCAGCAAUGCCGCGUGCAGGAUGAAGGCCUUCGGGUUGUUAACUGCUUUUGUACGGAACGAAAAGGCUCUGGCUAAUACCUGGGGCACAUGACGGUACCGUAAGAAUAAGCACCGGCUAACUACGUG